rnacentral:rRNA from 1 species
UACGUAGGGCGCAAGCGUUGUCCGGAAUUAUUGGGCGUAAAGAGCUCGUAGGCGGCUUGUCACGUCGGGGUGUGAAAGCCCGGGGCUUAACCCCGGGUCUGCAUUCAAUACGGGGCUGGCUAGAGUGUGGUAGGGGAGAUCGGAAUCCUGGUGUAGCGGUGAAAUGCGCAGAUAUCAGGAGGAACACCGGUGGCGAAGGCGGAUCUCUGGGCCAUUACUGACGCUGAGGAGCGAAAGCGUGGGGAGCGAACAGG